rnacentral:lncRNA from 1 species
GUAUUAGAGUCUAAUUGGUUCAUGAGAUAUGGGUUUGAGAUCUGGUCAUUGGUUCAUGAGAUUUGGGUAUUGGUUUAUGAGAUUUGGGUAUUGGUUCAUGGGAUAUGGGUAUUAGGUUGGAUGUAUGGUUCAUGGGAUUUGGUCCAUGAGGUUUAGUUGUGGUUCAUGGGAUUUGGUCCAUGAGGUUUGGUUUUGGCUCAUGGGAUUUGGUCCAUGAGAUUUGGUUUUGGCUCAUGGAAUUUGGCCCAUGAGAUUUGGUUUAUGGUUUAUGGAAUUUGAUCCAUGAGGUUUAGUUGUGGUUCAUGGGAUUUGGUCUAUGAACUUGGUUUUGGUUCAUGGGAUUUGGUCCAUGAGAUUUGGUUUUGGCUCAUGGGAUUUGGUCCAUGAGAUUUGGUUUUGGUUCAUAGAAUUUGGUCCAUGAACUUGGUUUUCGCUCAUGGGAUUUGGUCCAUGAGGUUUGGUUUUGGUUCAUGGGAUUUGGUCCAUGAGAUUUGAUUAUGGUUCAUGGGAUUUGGUCCAUGAGAUUUGGUUGGUUCAUGGAAUUUGGUCCAUGAGAUUUGGUUUUGGUUCAUGGGAUUUGGUCCAUGAGGUUUGGUUUUGGCUCAUGGGAUUUGGUCCAUGAGAUUUGGUUUUGGCUCAUGGAUUUGGCCCAUGAGAUUUGGUUUUGGUUUAUGGAAUUUGAUCCAUGAGGUUUAGUUGUGGUUCAUGGGAUUUGGUCUAUGAACUUGGUUUUGGUUCAUGGGAUUUGGUCCAUGAGAUUUGGUUUUGGCUCAUGGAUUUGGUCCAUGAGAUUUGGUUGGUUCAUAGAAUUUGGUCCAUGAACUUGGUUUUCGCUCAUGGGAUUUGGUCCAUGAGGUUUGGUUCUGUUUCAUGGGAUUUGGUCCAUGAGAUUUGAUUAUGGUUCAUGGAUUUGGUCUAUGAGAUUUGGUUGGUUCAUGGGAUUUGGUCUAUGAGAUUUG